GGGCGCGUAGCUUAGCUGGUAGAGCAGACGACUCUUAAUCGCCAGGUCGCGGGUUCGAAUCCCUCCGCGCCCACCA
rnacentral:tRNA from 1 species